AUGCAGUCGAGCGGACAGAUGGGAGCUUGCUCCCUGAUGUUAGCGGCGGACGGGUGAGUAACACGUGGGUAACCUGCCUGUAAGACUGGGAUAACUCCGGGAAACCGGGGCUAAUACCGGAUGCUUGUUUGAACCGCAUGGUUCAGACAUAAAAGGUGGCUUCGGCUACCACUUACAGAUGGACCCGCGGCGCAUUAGCUAGUUGGUGAGGUAACGGCUCACCAAGGCGACGAUGCGUAGCCGACCUGAGAGGGUGAUCGGCCACACUGGGACUGAGACACGGCCCAGACUACUACGGGAGGCAGCAGUAGGGAAUCUUCCGCAAUGGACGAAAGUCUGACGGAGCAACGCCGCGUGAGUGAUGAAGGUUUUCGGAUCGUAAAGCUCUGUUGUUAGGGAAGAACAAGUGCCGUUCAAAUAGGGCGGCACCUUGACGGUACCUAACCAGAAAGCCACGGCUAACUACGUGCCAGCAGCCGCGGUAAUACGUAGGUGGCAAGCGUUGUCCGGAAUUAUUGGGCGUAAAGGGCUCGCAGGCGGUUUCUUAAGUCUGAUGUGAAAGCCCCCGGCUCAACCGGGGAGGGUCAUUGGAAACUGGGGAACUUGAGUGCAGAAGAGGAGAGUGGAAUUCCACGUGUAGCGGUGAAAUGCGUAGAGAUGUGGAGGAACACCAGUGGCGAAGGCGACUCUCUGGUCUGUAACUGACGCUGAGGAGCGAAAGCGUGGGGAGCGAACAGGAUUAGAUACCCUGGUAGUCCACGCCGUAAACGAUGAGUGCUAAGUGUUAGGGGGUUUCCGCCCCUUAGUGCUGCAGCUAACGCAUUAAGCACUCCGCCUGGGGAGUACGGUCGCAAGACUGAAACUCAAAGGAAUUGACGGGGGCCCGCACAAGCGGUGGAGCAUGUGGUUUAAUUCGAAGCAACGCGAAGAACCUUACCAGGUCUUGACAUCCUCUGACAAUCCUAGAGAUAGGACGUCCCCUUCGGGGGCAGAGUGACAGGUGGUGCAUGGUUGUCGUCAGCUCGUGUCGUGAGAUGUUGGGUUAAGUCCCGCAACGAGGGCAACCCUUGGAUCUUAGUUGCCAGCAUUCAGUUGGGCACUCUAAGGUGACUGCCGGUGACAAACCGGAGGAAAGGUGGGGAUGAAGUUCAAAUCAUCAGGCCCCUUAAUAACCGGGGGUAACAACGUGCUACAAUGGGCAGGAAAAAAGGGGCGCCAAACCCGCGGGGUUUAGGCCAUUCCCACACAAUUG
rnacentral:rRNA from 1 species